rnacentral:rRNA from 1 species
CCUACGGGUGGCAGCAGUGGGGAAUAUUGGUCAAUGGACGCAAGUCUGACCCAGCAACGCCGCGUGAAGGAAGAAGGCUUUCGGGUUGUAAACUUCUUUUAAGGGGGAAGAGCAGAAGACGGUACCCCUUGAAUAAGCCACGGCUAACUACGUUCCAACAGCCGCGGUAAUACGUAGGGGGCAAGCGGUGUCCGGAUUUACUGGGUGUAAAGGGCGUGCAGCCGGGACUACAAGUCAGAUGUGAAAUUCGCGGGCUUAACCCGGGAACUGCCUUUGAAACUAGUGGUCUUGAGUACGGGAGAGGUAAGCGGAAUGCCUGGUGUAGCGGUGAAAUGCGUAGAUAUAAGGAAGAACACCGGUGGCGAAGGCGGAUGACUGGACGGCAACUGACGGUGAGGCGCGAAAGCGUGGGGAGCAAACAGGAUUAGAUACCCUUGUAGUC